GGUGGGGGAACAGCGCACGGACUGCGCCAGUCCACGGCGCAGUUGACGAGGUGGAGGUUCCCUGCUGUACGGCAGGGCGAACCCGCGUCGUUCAUGCGGGGAAAAUCGAGAGAUCAGCGGAUGCCUCCGGGGAGUGCCACAUCCCCUUCUCCCCUCCAAGGUGAAGCACCCACACAAAGCUGGCGGGUGACCGUCAGGACAAAGGGGGUGCAGUGGCAAGU
rnacentral:ncRNA from 2 species